UACGUAGGGGGCAAGCGUUGUCCGGAUUUAUUGGGCGUAAAGAGCGUGUAGGCGGCUUUGCAAGUCCGUUGUGAAAACUCGAGGCUCAACCUCGAGACGCCGGUGGAAACUGCAAAGCUAGAGUCCGGAAGAGGAGAGUGGAAUUCCUGGUGUAGCGGUGAAAUGCGCAGAUAUCAGGAAGAACACCCGUGGCGAAGGCGGCUCUCUGGGACGGUACUGACGCUGAGGAGCGAAAGCGUGGGGAGCAAACAGG
rnacentral:rRNA from 1 species